GUGAGGACGACCUCACCGCUAUUAUUCAAACGGGGACGGCCCCA
rnacentral:ncRNA from 1 species